rnacentral:rRNA from 1 species
AUUAAUAAGCGGAGGAAAAGAAACUAACCAGGAUUCCCCUAGUAACGGCGAGUGAAGCGGGAAUAGCCCAGCACCGAAUCGGGCGUCCAACGGCGCACCGAACUGUGGUGUUAAGGACUAGCGCAUGCACGGCGGUCCGGCGUCCGAGUCCUCCUGAUCGGGGCUUUGCCAUAGCGGGUGUCAGCCCUCUACGGCGCCGGAACGACGCUGCCCGCGACGUCCUAGGAGUCGGGUUGUUUGAUAAUGCAGCCCAAAGUGGGUGGUAAACUCCAUCUAAGGCUAAAUACAGACACGAGUCCGAUAGCGAACAAGUACCGUGAGGGAAAGUU